rnacentral:rRNA from 1 species
CGUGUAGGUGGUUCUGUAAGUAGGGCGUGAAAGCUCCCGGCUCAACUGGGAGAGGCCGUUCUAAACUGCAGAGCUAGAGGAUGGUAGAGGGAGGUGGAAUUCCAGGUGUAGCGGUGGAAUGCGCAGAUAUCUGGAGGAACACCAGUGGCGAAGGCGGCCUCCUGGACCAUUCCUGACACUCAGACGCGAAAGCUAGGGUAGCAAACG